GACGAACGCUGGCGGCGUGCUUAACACAUGCAAGUCGAACGGAAAGGCCCCUUUGGGGGUACUCGAUUGGCGAACGGGCGAGUAACACGUGAGUAACUUGCCCUUGACUUCGGGAUAACUUCAGGAAACUGGGUCUAAUACCUGAUAGGAAUCCUUGCUGCAUGGUGGGGGUUGGAAAGCUUCGGCGGUUUUGGAUGGACUCGCGGCUUAUCAGCUUGUUGGUGGGGUAGUGGCUUACCAAGGCUUUGACGGGUAGCCGGCCUGAGAGGGCGAACGGCCACAUUGGGACUGGGAUAAGGCCCAGAAUCCUACGGGAGGCAGGAGUGGGGAAUAUUGCACAAUGGGCGGAAGGCUGAUGCAGCAACGCCGCGGGCGGGAUGACGGCCUUCGGGUUGUAAACCGCUUUCAGCAGGGGCGGAGCUUGUGGUGACGGUACCUGCAGAAGAAGCACCGGCUAACUACGUG
rnacentral:rRNA from 1 species